rnacentral:rRNA from 1 species
GAUGAGCGCUAGCGGCAGGCCUAAUACAUGCAAGUCGAACGGUGUCUUCGGACAUAGUGGCGCACGGGUGCGUAACACGUAUGCAACCUACCUUACAUUGGGGGAUAGCCUUUCGAAAGGGAGAUUAAUACCGCAUAAGACAGUAGCUGGGCAUCCAGCAGCUGUUAAAGAUUUAUCGAUGUAAGCUGGGCAUGCGUCCAAUUAGCUAGUUGGUGAGGUAACGGCUCACCAAGGCAAUGAUUGGUAGGGGAACUGAGAGGUCAAUCCCCCACACUGGCACUGAGAUACGGGCCAGACUCCUACGGGAGGCAGCAGUAGGGAAUAUUGGGCAAUGGACGCAGGUCUGACCCAGCCAUGCCGCGUGCAGGAUGAAGGCGUUAUGCGUUGUAAACUGCUUUUAUACAGGAAGAAACGACUCAUGCGAGAGGCAUUGACGGUACUGUAUGAAUAAGCACCGGCUAACUCCGUGCCAGCCGCCGCCGUAAGAC